GUGCUGAUUUCUCUAGGGUUUUGUGGUGCCUAUAAAUACAUAUUUUAGGGUUGAAUCACCUAAUUUUCGUCCAUACUUCCAGCCACACCAUUCUACACAUCCAAAAACCCCAAAAACACAAUUCUAGCCAUUUUUCUUCCUUGCCGCAAGCCAUCUACCACCAUUCUUCCAUAUUUUCUAACCUUCCCCCAUCCUUUUGCCGCAACACAUCCAUUCCACCAAAGAGAGGAGCUUUGCCGUGACCUUUGGAGAGGAGGAAGGCUUGCCGCAUGCAAUCUUCAACCAUUGGAGUUUCUAGAGUUCUUUCUUUCUUUGUUUCUGUUUUCAUGUUUAAUUUAACUUGCUUUUCAAUUAUGUUAAACAUGUGGAACUAAUUUCUUUUUAGUUAGAGGUGAAUUUGAAGCCAUGGACAUAUGUU
rnacentral:lncRNA from 1 species